GUCGAACGGCAGCAUGAUCUAGCUUGCUAGAUUGACGGCGAGUGGCGAACGGGUGAGUAAUACAUCGGAACGUGCCCUGUAGUGGGGGAUAACUAGUUGAAAGAUUAGCUAAUACCGCAUACGACCUGAGGGUGAAAGUGGGGGACCGCAAGGCCUCAUGCUAUAGGAGCGGCCGAUGUCUGAUUAGCUAGUUGGUGAGGUAAAGGCUCACCAAGGCGACGAUCAGUAGCUGGUCUGAGAGGACGAUCAGCCACACUGGGACUGAGACACGGCCCAGACUCCUACGGGAGGCAGCAGUGGGGAAUUUUGGACAAUGGGCGAAAGCCUGAUCCAGCAAUGCCGCGUGCGUGAAGAAGGCCUUCGGGUUGUAAAGCACUUUUGUCCGGAAAGAAAUGGCUCUGGUUAAUACCUGGGGUCGAUGACGGUACCGGAAGAAUAAGGACCGGCUAGCUACGUGCCAGCAGCCGCGGUAAUACGUAGGGUCCAAGCGUUAAUCGGAAUUACUGGGCGUAAAGCGUGCGCAGGCGGUUGUGCAAGACCGAUGUGAAAUCCCCGAGCUUAACUUGGGAAUUGCAUUGGUGACUGCACGGCUAGAGUGUGUCAGAGGGGGGUAGAAUUCCACGUGUAGCAGUGAAAUGCGUAGAGAUGUGGAGGAAUACCGAUGGCGAAGGCAGCCCCCUGGGAUAACACUGACGCUCAUGCACGAAAGCGUGGGGAGCAAAC
rnacentral:rRNA from 1 species